rnacentral:rRNA from 1 species
ACGGGAGGCAGCAGUGGGGAAUAUUGGGCAAUGGGCGAAAGCCUGACCCAGCGACGCCGCGUGAAGGAAGAAGGUCUUCGGAUUGUAAACUUCUUUUAUGAGGGACGAAGGACGUGACGGUACCUCAUGAAUAAGCCACGGCUAACUACGUGCCAGCAGCCGCGGUAAUACGUAGGUGGCAAGCGUUAUCCAGAUUUACUGGGUGUAAAGGGCGCGUAGGCGGGGGUGCAAGUCAGAGGUGAAAUCUAUGGGCUUAACUCAUAAACUGCAUUUGAAACUGUAUCUCUUGAGUGCGGGAGAGGUAGAUGGAAUGCCUUGUGUAGCGGUGAAAUGCGUAGAUAUAAGGAAGAACACCAGUUGCGAAGGCGAUCUACUGGACAGUAACUGACGCUGAGGCGCGAGAGCGUGGGGAGCAAACAGGAUUAGAUACCCUGGUA